GACAGAGAUGCCGAGCGUUAGGCGGAAUCACUGGGCUUAAAGCGUGUGUAGGCGGGUCGUUAAGUGCCUUGUGAAAUCCCACGGCUCAACCGUGGAACUGCUGGGCAUACUGCCGAUCUUGAGCCAGCUAGGGGCAACCGGAACAAACGGUGGAGCGGUGAAAUGCGUAGAUAUCGUUUGGAACGCCAAUGGUGAAAACAGGUUGCUGGGGCUGUGCUGACGCUGAGACACGAAAGCCAGGGGAGCGAACGGG
rnacentral:rRNA from 1 species